CACGUAGUUAGCCGGGGCUUCUUAGUCAGGUACCGUCAUUAUCUUCCCUGCUGAUAGAGCUUUACAUACCGAAAUACUUCUUCACUCACGCGGCGUCGCUGCAUCAGGGUUCCCCCCAUUGUGCAAUAUUCCCCACUGCUGCCUCCCGUAGGAGUCUGGGCCGUGCCUCAGUCCCAAUGUGGCCGUUCACUCUCUCAAGCCGGCUACUGAUCGUCGCCUUGGUAAGCCGUUACCUUACCAACCAGCUAAUCAGACGCGGGUCCAUCCCAUAGCGAUAAAUCUUUCAAAACAGGACCAUGCGGUCCCGCUUUCCCAUGCGGUAUUAGCAGCCGUUUCCAGCUGUUCGUCCCCCUCUAUGGGGCACGGUUACCCACGCCGUUACUCACCCCGUCCGCCACUCAGUCACUCCCAUAUGCCUUCCUUCCCCAGCAAGCUUGGUUCUGUCUGCGGGUGGAUGCUUCGUUCGACUUGCAUGUGUUAGGCACGCCGCCAGCUUCACU
rnacentral:rRNA from 1 species